AUUGAACGCUGGCGGCAGGCCUAACACAUGCAAGUCGAGCGAGCGGCGGACGGGUGAGUAAUGUCUGGGAAACUGCCUGAUGGAGGGGGAUAACUACUGGAAACGGUAGCUAAUACCGCAUACCAUCAGAUGUGCCCAGAUGGGAUUAGCUGGUAGGUGGGGGAACGGCUCACCUAGGCGACGAUCCCUAGCUGGUCUGCGAGGAUGACCAGCAACACGGGAACUGAGACACGGUCCGGACUCCUACGGGAGGCAGCAGUGGGGAAUAGUGCAAAAUGGGCGCAAGCCUGAUGCAGCCAGGCCGCGUGUGGGAAGAAGGCUGUCGGGUGGUAAAGCACUGUCAGCGGGGAGGCGUUACCCGCAGAAGAAGCACCGGCUAACUCCGUGCCAGCAGCCGCGGUAAUUC
rnacentral:rRNA from 1 species